rnacentral:rRNA from 1 species
UACGAAGGGGGCUAGCGUUGUUCGGAGUUACUGGGCGUAAAGGGCGCGUAGGCGGCGCACCAAGUCAGGCGUGAAAGCCCUGGGCUCAACCCGGGAAUUGCGCUUGAGACUGGUGUGCUUGAGUACGGGAGAGGAUAGUGGAAUUCCCAGUGUAGAGGUGAAAUUCGUAGAUAUUGGGAAGAACACCGGUGGCGAAGGCGGCUAUCUGGACCGUAACUGACGCUGAGGAGCGAAAGCAUGGGGAGCGAACAGG